UGUGGUGGCGAUAGCACGAAGGUCACACCUGUUCCCAUGCCGAACACAGAAGUUAAGCUUCGUAACGCCGAAUGUAGUUGGGGGUUUCUCCCUGCAAGACUAGGAAGUCGCCACGC
rnacentral:rRNA from 1 species